CUUACCAUUUUCUACCAAGUUGCAUGGCCUAAUUAGAACAGGUCAUGGCACACUUCAACUCAUCUUCUAUCCAACAAAAAGAUAUUCACAUUACAAUAGAUAAUACUUGUAACAAAUUAAAUGGGCAUAUAAUAGCUUGCAAUAGUCUAAUUUUCAUCAAUUCACAACCCAACAAAACAUAACAAACAACAUCACACGAGAGGAAACAUCCGUUUUGUUCCACUUGAAGUAUGCUUCUUCCAACUUUCGGUUGGAGCUGUUCUACUUGGACGUCCACACCACCCGUAGAAGCUGUUAGUCAACCAUGCACCUUGUACUCUUUAUGUACAUGCAAAUAUAUUACAAGAUAAAGACAUUAAAAGCCAAAUUCGAAAUGGCAAAAUCAUUUAAAAUUAUGAAGUGCUUGGAAUUUGGAAUUGCACAAUACAAAAUUUUAGUGAAUCAAAGUGAUACGGAUUAUGGCAGGAAGAAAUUAGAAGCUAUGUAAAAAUGUCCAGUCAGUUCACUCAUGCAAAUAACAACACAUCCAAUGAGCAAUCAAACAACAAAGCACCAUCUUUUUGGUACUGCUGACAUUUAAUAAAUUAAUCGAUCUAGAGCAACAAAGGAUACUAAUACAACAAAAAUGGAGGAACACGAGCAACUAAACCACCACACAUUAAUUGAUUUUGAUAACAUACAUAUGUUAAGUCAUCUAACAAGAUUCUUUUAACCACAAUAUUAAAUGAAAUCAAUAUAGUCGUAGCAGCAUAGAUGGUUAAGGAUACCAUAUGACAUGCAAAGCACAAUUUAGCUUAGAUUAGAAAAUUUUAAAUGAACAUUCUAAAUCGAUCUAGUAACUAGACUAGCAAACACAUGUAGAUUAACCAAUAAAAGAAGAGGAAUGAUGGGGAUCCUUUGAGCAAAAUAUAAUUAGCAAAUUACUAAAACGAAGCCAUAUCUUCUAGACAAUAUUGACUAGAACAAGAUGUAUUUGGUAGUACUUUAUUACAGAAUCGCAUAGCAUCCUAGGGGAAAACAAUGAUUUUUGUCUAAAUGCGACAUGCAUACAUGCGAAGGAAUAGUGGCAUUGACUUACAUUUAUUUGCACCAACAAGAUCAUCACAUCUCUUAUUUACUAAUUGGAGGCACCUUUUAAGAUCUCUCAUUAAUCCACAUCAUCAAAAUUAAUUAUACCGUUGGAUUGUGGAAUUAACGUUCAGGAUAAAAAGAAUACGUACGUAAUGCAGAUGGUCCCAUGCCACAAAAAAUUGGCAUCUGACAUGUGAAGCAUUCCACUACAGUUUUUAUAGAAAAAAGAACACGUACAUAUAGAAGGACUAAACCAACACGUAAACAUUCCGCUACAGUUUUUAUAGAAAAAACAGCACGUACAUAUAGAAGGACUACACCAACACGUAAACAUUUUGCUAUAGUUUUUAAAGAAAAAACAGCACGUACAUAUAGAAUGACUUAACCAACGUGUACAUGUAAGAGUAAUCCAUGAUCAUGUUCAAGUUCUAAGCACUAACAUUACACCUGCCUCUAUCUGCCCACAAAAAGGUAAACAUAUAGUGACCAGUUAUCAAGCGUUUAAGACCAAGGAUAAAAAGUGUCCACAUCCCAAUUCCGAGAAAAAACACGUGCAUGUUCCAUUCAAAAAUGAAAAAAACAAUACACUUAUUUUUCCGAAAUUGUUUUUCAGCAGCACACACAAUGAAUUGUACGCAAUGUUCAAAUCACAUGAUAAAUAGAGCCUAUGUCCCAAUUUCCUGAAAAACACGUGCAUGUUCCCCUCAAAAAUGAAAGAAGACACGUAAAAAAUCAUCAAGCAUCACGUUAUGGGGAAGAGAGAGUUAAUGCAUGAUUGCGGAGAUUGUGUAAAAUGCAGAAACAGCUUUGUUUUUCUUUUUCUGAGUAAUUUUUUUCGAUGUGAAUGUAGUCGAAUUGUGGUUGUGCUAUAUUUACACAGAGCACAACAAACCAUUACAAUCUUAGACAAACGAAUUGAACACAAAAUGGAACACACCUUCACCCAAAAGUAGUCGGUAGAAUAAUAUUUUCAAAACAUGUUGUACUUCUUCUGAUAAUUUCAGUUUAUUUAAUAUUCCCAAGGUUUGUAUAUGCAUCAUCUUUGGAGAAAAAACAAACCCAUGUGAGCCACUAUGUCUUGAUUAGGGUCUGGAUCAUCAUGAAUCCCUUUUGUAAAUGUAUAUCCCAGGAAUAAUAUAUCACGGCCAAACUAAAUUUUUGUUAGCCAGAAUAUAAAUUAUAUUAUCUUUUUGUACAUAUCGUUGACUCUUUUAGUGCUAAUAAUUCAGAUUAGGGAAGUGCUAAUAAUUCAUAUUAGGAAAGUUAAUUUGUAGCUCCCCAUUGUUGCUGGUCUAACUAGACUCACUCUCCAGCAUAAUAACAACACAUUUGAAAUCUCUAUUCAACAAAAAUGAAUGAGAGGAUAGUGCAAGUAAGUAGAGUAAAUACCUUCACAUAGUAAUGCUACCGCAACAAAAUGAGGUGUGAAGGGCUGGUAAUGAAAGGACACCACCACCAAGAGCCCACUCAUGCCCAAUCCUUUUCCUUUCUCAUCUUGUUCCUCCACGUGGCACUCCAACUCUCUCCGUCGGCUCCAAGAGAAAAUAGGAUGGUCAAGAUCAAAAAGCAGACCAGGAAAACUGAAUCCAUACAUCAAAACACAUAGAUGUAGUUGAAAUAUUCUUGUGGACUGAAGGAAAUUAAAACUAAAUGCCACUACUCAAUUUUGCAGGGUGUUGUGCACUGUACAUGAUUUAAUUUUGUGUUGAAAGAUGCAGUGGACAAGAUCACCACAGAAAGAGAGAGUCUUUGUAACAGGGGUUCAAGUGAUUUGACUGAUGUUAAGUAUGAGUAGUUGUGCUAAAUUUAAUGUUCAAACUGUCCCUGGCUAGAAGAGAACUUGCAAUGCAGUUCUUGUCAUUGGAACCUGCAACAUCACAGUGAGCACAAAAUUUCUGAUACUACGAGAUCAAAGAUUCAGCUACUAUGAGAACAAACAGCCAGAAACCAUGACCACAAAGAUUCAGACAUAUAGGCAUCAUAUAUAGAUAGAUAGAUAGAUAGAUAGAUUAAUGACAUAGAUAGAUAGACAUGCAUCAUAGAUACAUGAGUUCAGAAAGCACCACACAUUGUGAUCUGCCGAGCUGCUGCAUAGAUUCAGUUCAGAAAAAAUGUACUUCAAACACUAAGUUCACAAAUUAAAUGAACCCAUAUAUUUGGUUCAGAUAUUGCUGCAGAAAUAAAAAAGGAUAGUGUUGCAACAGACUCACUCUUCCUAUGGCACUUGCCGAGCUUCAGAAGAUGUAGAGAUCGGCAAACUGGCCCCAUGAUGUGGAGCUGAUUUUUCUUCCUUGUGCUGCUUGUGCGUGUCUCCACUUCCAUCUCAUGUUGUAUCUGAUGCUCCAUCAGCUGUUGCUCCAUUUGUUGCUUCUCAAUCUGUUGCCGCUCCAUCUCGGGUGCCUCCGCCUACACCUGUUAUUCCAUCUGCAACGGCUCCAUCUCCAUCAGAGGAGCGAGGGGCAGCGUUGGCACCAUGCACUCAGGGAGAAAAAAAUGGCCACAUCACAUGGAGCUGGGAAUCGAGUUUCUUACCUAUGCCUGAAUCUAAGAUCUAGCCACCACCGUCCUAGGAGACCAAUUGGAAUAGCCGGUAACAGCACCACCACCACAUGCUAAUUCAAAAACCAAGGUAUCGUACCCCAUCGGCCAGCCACAGGUGCGGGAUGCGGGUCAGUGGAGUUGAUGAUGCAGGCUCAUGUGCAGGAUGACGGUGUGCUCCCUUGUGAUGGCCUCCUUCUUCGGCGCUAAUUGAGCAGCUCGUCGCCUGAUGUUACCUGAGUGUCGACACACAGAAACCCUAAAACCACCAUGAAAAAAUAGUGACAAAAGGGAGGGCUUCAGACCGAUGUUUAGCUUGCCGUUGAUCUUGAAAGCCCUCUCGAAGUCGAAGGCGAGGCUAUGCAGCUAUACGCCGAGAUGACGAGGCGAGUGGAGCAAGCCUUCAGGUGAGGAAGUCAAGAUCUGAGGCGAGGGGAGGAAGCUUGCCCGUGAGGAAGUAGAGAUCUGAGGCGAGGGUUGUGGGAUUGAGGUCCUGUGAUGGGGUGGAUUCGCCAACAUGGCCGUAGUCGUGAGGUGGGGAAGAACAUGGAGUUGGAGUGCCAGAGGACAGAAGAAGCAGUGGCGGCUAGGGCAGAGGGAGAAGUGGUAGGAGCAGGUUAUGUAUGUGUGCCUUCGGUUUAGAACCCUAGUUGGUUU
rnacentral:lncRNA from 1 species